rnacentral:rRNA from 1 species
UACGAAGGGAGCUAGCGUUGUUCGGAAUUACUGGGCGUAAAGCGCAUGCAGGCGGAUCGUUAAGUCGGGGGUGAAAUCCCGAGGCUCAACCUCGGAACUGCCUUCGAUACUGGCGAUCUUGAGUCCGGGAGAGGUGAGUGGAACUGCGAGUGUAGAGGUGAAAUUCGUAGAUAUUCGCAAGAACACCAGUGGCGAAGGCGGCUCACUGGCCCGGUACUGACGCUGAGACGCGAAAGCGUGGGGAGCAAACAGG